ACGCGGGACGAAGUGGGAUCGUCCCGUCCCGUCCCACUUUGUCCUUUCAACCAAACGCACCCUAAGUCACAGACAGUAAGGACAAAGCCAGAGAAUCCAAGGCACCAGAGAUCAAGGAUGGGUGGCCCCUGGCUCCACAAAUUCUGAAGUGGCAAUCAACGAUCCAGACAUGAGGUUUCAGUAGAAGCUACUAGAGGCUGCAACACGCAAUCUUCCUAAAUAUAAAACAUAAGGCGUAAACCGACAACCUAGCCCCAAAUUAAAGUAUCCUCCUGAAUUCACUGGCUCCUCCUUGAAUUGCACAGGUUGCACUCAAAAGUCAAAAUGGCACAAAAUUGCACUAAAUUUGGGCAAGGACUCAAGGUGGCGUCUGAUCAUCCACUGGUAGAGCAGCAGUAAGUGGAAGUAGCGGAAGUAACUGGAGUAACCAUUUAUAGCAACUGCUUUUCACUUUCGAGUGGUAGCACGCAAUUCGAAUUGAUUGCUUCCCAUAACGAAUAAUUGAAAUUCGAAGCAGGAUCGCGAGGAAUUAGAUUGCGCGGGGUGAGGUCAGGUGUCCGGCACAUCACCUGGAUCUUGGCGACGUACUCCUUCUGGAACCGGAUCCUCAUCCCGAGCUCCGGGUCGACGAAGAGGAACUUGCGGAGUCCGUACAUGGC
rnacentral:lncRNA from 1 species